CCCCCUGACUUUAAAGCUGGAUCCGCCCCUGCAUCUAACCGUCUCAGUCUCUCUGCUUUUGAGUCCUUUUCUCUAUCAUCUAAAACUUCACUUUGAAAGACAUCGAAGCCAACAGUCAUUCUAUAAUCAUUUUGAUGAAAACAGAUGCGGAAUUUCCCCAUUUUAAACUAAAGUUUCAUUCCUAAUUGCCAGCUUUAUGACGUGUUCCGGGUUUUUCAAGCCCCCCAAGCUAAAUGAUAAUUGGCAAUUAAUAAACUUCCCAAAUACCCAAAACCUGUGAAAAUGUACACAUAAAUGCCUCAUUUGCGUAAACAUUCAAAAACAAUUGAUUGCCUGAGACGCCGCUAAUGUGUUUAAUCUGACUAAUUGCCGGCAAAAGAAACAAUGCGACUGCGACUAUCAGCUCGUUGCAGCUUUACAAUGGGAAUGAGUCACGCGGGUAGAUAAUUAUUGCAAAUAUAACGCUGGAAAAAGCCUUAAAUGCAUUAUAUUGGCGGCCUUGGCUCCCCACUGAACAACGUAUCGGUUUGCACACAAAAAACGCGGAAAACUGCAGUACACAAAAAUGUUUCCUGCCGCGCGCGUCUUUGCUAGUUUGAGUGUUUUAGCGGCUUUGAGCUGCGGUUGCCCCAAUCCCGGACCGGACGACCCUCGCCCGCCUGGAGGAAUACAAUGGAUCAACUGCAGCAGACCGAACGAGCACUACUUAUGCGGCUCUGCUUGCCAAAACACAUGCGAAACCUUAGGGCAAGUUUGCCCCAUCGUGAAUAUUCGCUGCAACGAUUCUUGCUACUGUUGCCCGGGCUUCGCCCGGGACUGCCAGGACAAUUGCGUGCCCGAACCGGACUGUCCGCCUAAGGGGACUUGCUCCAACACUUCUAGCUGAUUUACAUUAACAACGUUUAUUCAAACACCUACUGGAUAAAUGUACAUUAUUUCCUCAAUACACGCAACAACAAUGCAUGCGAA